AUACCAAAUCAACUGCAAAAAUAAGUUCAAAAUAGCAAUAAACACUCAUCUAUCAUUAAUUACUGUAAAUGUUAAUGGACUAAAUGCUCCAGUCAAAAGGCAGAGUGGCAUACAGGAUAAUAAAGAAAGAACCUUCAAUACACUGCAUACAAGGGACACACAUUAGGGAGAUUGACACAUAUAGUUUGAGAGUGAAUGGAUGGAAAAGGAUAGUCCAUGAAAAUGGAAACGCCAAAAAAGCAGGUGCAGCAGUGCUGAUUUCAGACAAAAUAGACUUUAAAACAAAGGCCAUAAAGAAAGAUAAAUAAAGACAUUUUAUAAUGAUUAAA